rnacentral:rRNA from 1 species
UACGUAGGGUCCAAGCGUUGUCCGGAUUUAUUGGGCGUAAAGAGCUCGUAGGCGGUUCCGUAAGUCGGAUGUGAAAACUCGGGCUCAACCCCGAGACGCCAUCCGAUACUGCGGUGACUUGAGUCUGGUAGGGGAACACGGAAUUCCUGGUGUAGGCGGUGAAAAUGCGCAGAUAUCAGGAGGAACACCGAUGGCGAAGGCAGUGUUCUGGGCCAAGUACUGACGUGAGGAGCGAAAGCGUGGGGAGCAAACAGG